rnacentral:sRNA from 1 species
AGUGUCUUUGUUUUCUACAGUAACCUCUUUUGCUUCAGAAUCCUCAGGCUGUGAUUCCUCAGCCUCUGACUUGGGU